UACGUAGGUCCCGAGCGUUGUCCGGAUUUAUUGGGCGUAAAGCGAGCGCAGGUGGUUUAUUAAGUCUGGUGUAAAAGGCAGUGGCUCAACCAUUGUAUGCAUUGGAAACUGGUAGACUUGAGUGCAGGAGAGAAGAGUGGAAUUCCAUGUGUAGCGAUGAAAUGCGUAGAUAUAUGGAGGAACACCGGUGGCGAAAGCGGCUCUCUGGCCUGUAACUGGCACUGAGGCUCGAAAGCGUGGGGAGCAAACAGG
rnacentral:rRNA from 1 species